rnacentral:rRNA from 1 species
GAUCAUGGCUCAGGAUGAACGCUGGCGGCGUGCUUAACACAUGCAAGUCGGAACGGGGAUUAGUUUCAUUGAAGCUUUCGGCAGAUUUGGCUUAAUCCUAGUGGCGGACGGGUGAGUAACGCGUGGGUAACCUGCCUUGUACAGGGGGAUAACAGUCAGAAAUGACUGCUAAUACCGCAUAAGGCGCACAGGACCGCAUGGUACCGGUGUGAAAAACUCCGGUGGUAUAAGGAUGGACCCGCGUUGGA